rnacentral:rRNA from 1 species
GACGUAGGGCGCGAGCGUUGUCCGGAUUUAUUGGGCGUAAAGAGCUCGUAGGCGGCUUGUCGCGUCGACCGUGAAAACUUGGGGCUCAACUCCAAGCCUGCGGUCGAUACGGGCAGACUAGAGUUCGGUAGGGGAGACUGGAAUUCCUGGUGUAGCGGUGAAAUGCGCAGAUAUCGGGAGGAACACCAGUGGCGAAGGCGACUACCUGGCCUGUUCUUGACGCUGAGGCGCGAAAGCUAGGGGAGCAAACGGG